GGCAGCCUGCUCUGAAGGGAGCUUUCAUGUGGCCGACCAACUCUACUCCUUGACUCCUCCCUUCUCUCAUUGAAAAAAAAUGUUUAAGGGGACAUUUCUCUCUCCUAAACUUUUUAUGUUCCAUUGAAGACCUGGAAAACAUGUUAAAUAAAAAUGCUUUGCCACAGCUGACCUAUGUCUUCUGGCUUGUACCCCACAACAUCUUAUCUAAUGGAAGGACAGAAUAACGGGCUCCCAGAUUCACAAGCCCCACCAAGAGGAUCACCCCAGGAACGCUUGGAGGCUGAGGAGUUCACUGAGGCUACUGCAUCUUGAGACUCAGGAUGAAGACCCAGCUUGGGGCUGUCAAAGGUUUUUUGCAUGUCUGACACCCAUGACUCCACCUGGACCUUAUGGCUCCACCCAGAAGCAAUUCAGCCCAACAGGAGGACAGCUUCAACCCAUUACGAUUUCAUCUCUGCCCCAACCACUCAGCAGCAAGCACCUGUUACCUGUCCACCCCCACCCCUUCCCCCAAACUGCCUUUGAAAAAUCCCUAACCUAUGAGCUUUGAAUAAGAUGAGUACGAACUUCAUCGCCCACGUGGCGUGGCCGGCCUCGUGUCUAUUAAAUUCUUUUUCUACUACAA
rnacentral:lncRNA from 1 species